UGGGGAAUUUUGGACAAUGGGGGCAACCCUGAUCCAGCCAUGCCGCGUGAGUGAAGAAGGCCUUCGGGUUGUAAAGCUCUUUCGGCGGGGACGAAACGGUCCGUGACAACACCACGGACUAAUGACAGUACUCGCAGAAGAAGCACCGGCUAACUACGUGCCAGCAGCCGCGGUAAUACGUAGGGUGCAGGCGUUAAUCGGAAUUACUGGGCGUAAAGCGUGCGCAGGUGGCUCCUUAAGUCAGAUGUGAAAUCCCCGGGCUUAACCUGGGAACUGCGUUUGAAACUGAGGAGCUAGAGUGUGGAAGAGGGGGGUGGAAUUCCAGGUGUAGCAGUGAAAUGCGUAGAGAUCUGGAGGAACACCGAUGGCGAAGGCAGCCCCCUGGGCUAACACUGACGCUCAUGCACGAAAGCGUGGGGAGCAAACAGGAUUAGAUACCCGGGUAGUCCCUGAGCGGGCUGGCAAGGCGCAU
rnacentral:rRNA from 1 species